GGCGAAGUUGAAAUCAUCCCUUCGUAAAUUAUGCGGACGCCAUUACUAGUUGGUUUACCGAAAUUAGAUAUCCGUUACAAAUCCUCUUUGCUAGCCAAGGAUUACAAUCCAAUCCCUACUUUUCACCCUUAUUUGAUUAAGCUAAUAUUGGUGAUUACAAUGUUGCGCCACAUAUCGGUUUAUAAAAGUCAUGCCCAUUACAAAUACAUUAUUCUUGAACAGAAGUGAACAUGUUAUAUAUGUGUCUUUUGAUUGAAUACAGACAGUUACGGCCGCGACCAUUAAAUCAAUACCUCGUGGAUCUGAAAUUCUCUCUCAAACUGCUUAGGAUGGUGAGGAGGGGAGUAGACC
rnacentral:lncRNA from 1 species